rnacentral:lncRNA from 10 species
AAAAAAUGACCUUUCGUUGAAUAAUUUUGGAGCAGAAAUAAAAGAAGGCUUGCUGCUACCAGAAAGUCAUUAAGGCAUUAGUUUCUCUAAGAAGACAGAUCUGAAGAAUGUGCAAGAAAAUGAGAAAAAAAUAAAAACAAGGCUCAGAAAACAAUAACAGCAGCCUAUCUACAUUGUGCUUUACAGUCUACAGUGUGCAUUCAUAUUUAACACUUUGGACUGAACAUUUGACACUUUGGAGUGAAUAGAUAUAAUUAUCCUCAGUUUACAGGUGGGAAAAUGAAGGCACAGAAAAGAUGAAGAAAUGAAGGCUCGGAAUGGACAAGUAACUUAUCGAAGGACACAUAGCUAAGUGAAGUAAAAGAAUGUUGAAAAUAAUAUAGGGUGUGCUGAAAGAGAGUUGAGAGAGGAAACAAAGAAGAAAAGGGAACAGGUUCACAGGCCUCCUGAAUUUUAUUCAAAUACUCUCAGGGAGGAAAUCUUGCAAUGUGAUGGAUCGAGAGAGUGGUGAUGGAAACCCCACAGCAGCUCUGAAUUCUGAUCCUGCUUGGCUGCUUACUGGUUGCCCAAUGGUGAGAAUAUUCCUCAGGUCUUCUGAGCUUUCAUCUUAUUCCAAAAGAAGGUCUGUUUUAUUGAACAUUGGACUCCAUCGGAUUAUGUUCUGUCUUUACUAUCCAUGGUCUGACAAUUGAUGCUAUCUUCAGAAAAAGAAUAAUUAUUUAGAAACAGAAAAUAAAUGUUGUUUUGACUUGCGAAUUUCCUUUCUCUAACAAAGAAAGGAUUCUCUGAACAAUAACCCUAAUAUUCACAUACCAGGAAUAAUGCAUUUAGGAAAAAAAAACCAGUUCAUUUAAAGUGAAUAUUUAAGAUGCUGAUAUAUUUUGGAGAAAAUAAGAACAUGAGGAUGAUUAAAAUAGAGUUUAGGAUCAAUUAGUAGAAUGUACAACUUGCCUAAGGGUUACUGCCAAAGGAAAAUAACUUUUAAAUUAAAAUUGAAUGUGGCAAUAAUUAACAUUAGUAACUAAAAAUGAGAACAUAUUUAAGAAAGUAAUCAAAUAGAGACCCAAAAGUCCAUGCCUGUUUAUUAUGUACUUUCAUUUUUCUGGUCUCGUUCAAUAUCUUUAGAGUACCAACGGAAUAUUCAUUUGUUUUUGGUAGUUUCCAUAUUUCUUAAUUCCUGAUUAUUCUCAAUUAGUGAACACAUUUAUACUAAGAACUUCUAUAUGUGAAAGUCAUUAAGUAAGUAUCAGAAGAGACAUUAAAAAGCAAAAGAAAGUCUCUGAUCUCAAGGACCUUAAUGUCUAGACUUAGAGAAGAUGUAAAAAUAUGUGAAAAGCUAAAAAAAAUGUACAAAGGAACAAAAAUCUAGAAAAAGGUGAGUUGAUACAAGAUAAUGUGAUUAGUUGUCUUUAUCACAAUGAGUGGUGACGGCAAUAGGUUCUAGAAAAGUUCAGAGGACAACACAUGCACUUAGGCUAAAGUGGCUUGGGAAAGUCUCAGGGUAGGCAGGAUUGAAGCUAUUUUUGAAGGAUAAGUACAAUUUGGGCUCUCUCAAACAUUUUUAAUCUAUUUAAAUAAUUACCUAUUCUGGUUUUCUUAUUAAUGUCCUAACAGUCGCUCAAAGUUUCAAGAGAGCAGAGAAGGAUCAAGGGGUUGGAGAAUGGGAGCUGUAGGUCUCAUAACCUCCAGUUUCUGACUAAACUUACUAAACAUCUGUUAGGAAUUUUGUAGUAUUAGUCCCACACCUCCUUUUUCCACCCUCUCAGAAUUGUCCUGGGAAUUACCAUCUAUAAAGCAUAGUUUUAUUUGUCAAUUUCCAUAAAAAAUGUUUAGGGAAAUGGUUGAAAUUUACUCAUGCCUCAGUCCUCCUGAUUGGAAAAUGGUCAGCUAUCCUAGUCCACAGGAAUGUUGGUUCACAAAGAGAGCUGGAUACUGUAAAAUGUGUAUAAUGGACUACACAUGCUCAUUUGUUAUUUUCAUCAUUGCUGACAGUACACAGCUUGCUACUGCUCUUGCAUUUUUCAUCCAUUCAUUUUGAGAUGCCUAAGCCAGAUGCAAAUCGUUCCCUUCUUCUCUUCCCUGGGCUCCAGAUGCUGUUUACAAGACAGAAAAAUGUGUGGUAGGCUCUUUAUAACAAGACAGCACUUGCAUUUGAAUAGUUACAUUAUGAAAACUCAAGCUUUUCAUGUAUCGCUUAUCAGUUGUUUACUAGGCUAUGAACCCUUGGAGGUGAAAACGCCUCUGUUUGGGAAAAGCUGGCAUGGACCUAUUCAUUAUUGCUUUAUGCUAAGAACAAAUUAAAAUGCCAGCUAUCUCUGGACUGAACCCUGGAAAAUGUACACUUUUUGCUCCUGUACGUCUCUUCCUUGGCAUCUGAAAAUAAAACCAGUUAGUUGAAACAGUGCUUGUUAUGGUAAAUUAAACUUCUUGAGAGCUUUGAGAAUUGAGCUUUAAGUUGUAUUUGAAAUUCAGAGUGGAUUACGUAGUUCUUUAAAUAACUCAAAAUUAUACCAGGUCAGCCCACUUUGUGAGAGCACUCUCAGGCAUAAGUGUGAUUUCAAAUUCCCCAUAAAGUGUAAAUGAGGAUCUGAUUUCACAUAAAUGACACAUUUGCCUCAAUAGAAAAAUUAAUUUUAUGUCCUAUAAGAAGCUGAUUAAUGAUGCUGUCACCUUAUAUUCUAGCAAAAUUCAACAUUGCAUAAAAUAAUAUUUAAUUGAACAUCUUAGUUUUCAUGAGACUUUUCAUGAAAUUAGCUGACAUGAGAUACUAGUGUGUCAUUGUCUUAUAGGUUACCUUCAUUGUAAUAUAAGGAGAACAUUGUAGAGUGCACUUUAAUUAAAACAAUUGAUGUUGAUAUUUUUAUAAUCAUUAAAAUAGAUGAAAAAGAAAAAUCUACAAAUUGUGUGUGUGUGUAUAUUCUGACAACCAAUGAAGAAUUAAUUGCUCUGAUGUAAAUAAUUUUAAUAAUAAAAAUUGUUGUGUUAGGCCAUAAUUUAAGAAGUUUUUGCUCUGAAUCCAAUAAUGAAGAAAAUAUUUUGUGACUUAAUGAAAG